CGGAUUCUGGCUCAGGAUGAACGCUAGCGGCAGGCUUAACACAUGCAAGUCGAGGGGCAACGCGAGUAGCAAUACUUGCCGGCGACCGGCGCAAGGGUGCGUAACGCGUGAGCAACAUGCCCGUAUCAGGGGGAUAAUCCAUGGAAACGUGGUCUAAUACCCCAUAGUAAUUAUGUAAGGCAUCUUAUAUAAUUUAAAGCUUUGGUGGAUACGGAUUGGCUCGCGUGACAUUAGCUGGAUGGUAAGGUAACGGCUUACCAUGGCUACGAUGUCUAGGGGUUCUGAGAGGAAGGUCCCCCACACUGGAACUGAGACACGGUCCAGACUCCUACGGGAGGCAGCAGUGAGGAAUAUUGGACAAUGGAUGGAAAUCUGAUCCAGCCAUGCCGCGUGCAAGGAAGACGGCCCUAUGGGUUGUAAACUGCUUUUGUAUGGGAGCAAUAAGGGCUACGUGUAGUCCGAUGAGAGUACCAUACGAAUAAGCACCGGCUAACUCCGUGCCAGCCGCCGC
rnacentral:rRNA from 1 species